UCAAAUACCUUAUGAAACAAACAUCCCUUUAUUGUAAUAUGUUAAUAUUUUCAAAAGUAAAAGUAAUUGACGGUUUACUAUUUUUCUAGCGCUCAUGUUAUCACUUUUCUCAUCCUUAUGACGCCUCUGUUUGUUAGUACGGAAUGAAGCUUAGAAAACGGGACAUAAUUGUGCGAUUUUAUCAACAAUUUGUGUUAAAUACUUAUAUAAGACAGUGUUCUUUAUUUCUUGUAUUUUGUUUUUAAUCUGUAAACUUUAAUCCAUUCGAUUUGUUUGAUACCAAACAAAACCGCUUUCUACAUGCAUCAACACCUCUUCUGCGCCUUCCCUAUCCUCUUUUUUUUGUUUUCUCAGCUCUGCUUUUCCCUGCACACCCACUUUACUCUGUCUAGGUUUAGCGUUGUAUUAUAUGUAGAGAUCCACUUUCACUUGCCUUUUGCCAAACAGUCAACUACACCUUGUGCAAAACCGAGUCCCAGAUUGUUUUUGGACUUUUUGCUAGAUUUUUUUUUUUCCAGUGUGUGCCUCCCUGCAUUUUGUUUUUAUUUUAUUUUGUUUUUUUUAACUUUUUGUUCAUUUAUUUCUUUUAUUGUCAACUGUCUUUUUCUGCAUUACUUUAAACCAAAGUUUCACUUCCUUGUCAUGGAUGAUUUCGUAAGAAACAAACUGGCUGAAUGGGGGCUAAGUGAGUGGGUGGAGAAAUUUAAAGAUGAACAAAUCGAUGCAGAAAGUCUGCGUGUCCUUGAUGAUCGAGAAAUUGAUAAUUUGAUCCCAAAAGCUGGACCAAGAGUGAAAUUCAAGAAGAACCUCAAGCUGUUAAAGG